UUAAAAAAAUCCUGAAGCCUAAAAAUUGGUGAAUAAAAAAAAUCUCAUUGUUUUUGCCUAUACAUGUCUUUCAUGUCAUUUUAUUUUUUAAACAACUUAGUCCUGGUGUCAAGUACAGAGGACAUAGCAUAAUUUUUCAAAAAUGAUUUUUUUUUUUUUCAUUUGUUUCUUAUGCUCUAAACAAUACUCAAUUCAAAAAACGUUUUUUUUUCUCAGUCCCAGGAGGAUAUACACUCUUAGUAAAGGAUUGUUAUUAGCGACACCGUUGGCCGUUAAGUGAACUGCAGCAACCAACAAUUGCUCGUCCGUGCUCGCACUCGUGCACAUGCAAUGGACGUGAUUCAAGUCCCUGAUAUACUCGUGGCGAAGUUCCUUUUCUUCUUUGCUUAAAAGUAAAAAUAAUAGCUGCAACGCGGAUAUGUUUGCACGAGCUCUGCAAUUCACCGGCAUCAUGUCGACAGAUGAGGCGAGAGAAACAGAAUCCCUUCCAGGUUUCACCAGACUCAGCGUGAUAAUAACAGUCCAAGGAAUGUGAUCGUAGAGUUCAGCGCUCAUUCAACGGGCUCUCCGUCUCUGAUCUCCCCAUCACGACAUCAA